ACAACCAAAUGUGUAUUUUGUUUAUUUUACUACACUUUGUCAAUUUGCGUCUGUAGAUUUAUCCUAAAUUCACCUAAAGUUAGCAUCAGAUAAUG